UCCCUGGUGACUCAGCUGGUAAAGAAUCUGCCUGCAAUGCAGGAGCCCUGGGUUCGAUUCCUGGGUUGGGAA
rfam:Ovis aries breed Texel chromosome 11, whole genome shotgun sequence.